GACGAACGCUGGCGGCGUGCCUAAUACAUGCAAGUCGAACGCAGUGGGGACGGGUGAGUAACACGUGGGUAACCUCCCAUCAGAGGGGAUAACACUUGGAAACAGGUGCUAAACCGAUACUGAUGGAUGGAACCGCGGGGCAUUAGCUAGUUGGUGGGGUAACGGCCCACCAAGGCCAAGAUGCAUCACCGACCGGAGAGGGUGAUCGGCCACACGGGGACUGAGACACGGCCCAGACUCCUACGGGAGGCAGCAGUAGGGAAUCUUCGGCAAUGGGCGAAAGUCUGAUCGAGCAAUGCCGCGUGAAUGAAGAAGGUUUUAGGGUCGUAAAGCUCUGUUGGUAGAGAGGCGGUAUCUAACCAGGAAGCCACGGCUAACUACGUGCCAGCAGCCGCGGUAAUUC
rnacentral:rRNA from 1 species